GACGAACGCUGGCGGCGUGCUUAACACAUGCAAGUCGAACGGAAAGACCCUGCUUUUGUGGGGUGCUCGAGUGGCGAACGGGUGAGUAACACGUGAGUAACCUGCCCUUGACUUUGGGAUAACUUCAGGAAACUGGGGCUAAUACCGGAUAGGAGCUCCUGCUGCAUGGUGGGGGUUGGAGAGUUUCGGCGGUUGGGGAUGGACUCGCGGCUUAUCAGCUUGUUGGUGGGGUAGUGGCUUACCAAGGCUUUGACGGGUAGCCGGCCUGAGAGGGUGACCGGCCACAUUGGGACUGAGAUACGGCCCAGACUCCUACGGGAGGCAGCAGUGGGGAAUAUUGCACAAUGGGCGGAAGCCUGAUGCAGCAACGCCGCGUGCGGGAUGACGGCCUUCGGGUUGUAAACCGCUUUCGCCUGUGACGAAGCGUGAGUGACGGUAAUGGGUAAAGAAGCACCGGCUAACUACGUG
rnacentral:rRNA from 1 species